CAUCGUUUUAAUAACCUACAACCUCUCUCUCAGUGUCCGUACAUCUUCAAGUGCCCUUUUUCCCUCUCCGUUCAUUUUCUCCUCCCAUGUCUAAUUCGCUACGACGAUUAGUCGAUGCCAAUUAACAUAGAAAGAAAAAUAUCACUAUCACCAUCUUCUUCUUUUCCUUUCCGAUUAAGCCCUAGCCAGAAUUGCCCACCAACAUAAUUUUACAAUUGGGAUUAAAGGUUAGAAGCUAUCUAUUUGUUUAUAUGAUCUCUUCUAUUUAUUGGUUGCCUUGAAAUUGAAAGAGAAGGAAUUUGUAAACAUUGAUUAUUUGUCGAUAUGGUCGACGUCCCAUAGAAGAUCUCCUUGGACAGUAGAGCAUAGAGGUUUUUAGUCCUUCAGCAAAAUGCAUUUUCCGGAGAUUGAACUUGUGUUCUCAUCCAUAUGAACGGAGAUUGAGGUCGCUUACCACCUCAACCAACAGCUUGCCGGUAAUAAUAACAUUUUUUUGCAUAAUUAGUAUUAUUAAUAUUAUUAAGUUAGACUUAUAAAAGGUAGUUAACAUUUAUCGGAAGCCUAGCCUUUAAUUUCAUCUCGAACUUUUCAAAUAAUUGUAAUUUUACGUUAAAUCAACCUUUGUAUCCUGAGUACCCUGAACUUAUCAACCUCGUUGCAAUUACACUCUAAUUUGACUUCAUAGCCAAUUCAUUAUUUUUGCAUUUUAAAAUUGAUUCAAUUUUAAAAUCAAAUAUUCAAUUUUUAUUUUUUUUUAUUUAUUAUAGGAAUACUUGGGUUUGAUUUUGCUAGUAUUGUUUAAAUACUAGGGUAUGGAGUCCAUUUAUUUAUUUUUAAUUAAAAUUUCGACCAUAGUUUAUUUUUAGAGUGCAAUUGCAACGAAUUGAUAAGUUCAGGUUGUCGUAAUUCACUUUUAGUUGCAAUUACACCUUAAUCUUUUAAGGUGUAAUUGUAACUAGAUUGAUAAGUUCAGGGUUUUUAGGGUACAAAAAUUGAUUUAGAGUGAAAUUGUAACUAUUCGGAAAGUUCAGGGUGAAAUUAAAGGUUAGGCCUUUAUUAGAAGAUUUAAAUCACUGAAAUUAAGAAUUUAAUUUCAUUUUGAAUUCCACUUUCCAUCUAAAGAAGGUAAUAUUCAAAUUUUGAAUAUUGAUUUUCCUUAAAACAUUAAUAUAUGUUCACUUAAUUUUAAUUCUUAUUGAAGCUCAAUUAUAUAAGGCAAUUAACGUUUGCUUCCAUUGAGAUAAGAUAAAGCUCAAUUUUAUAUGGCAACUAACGUUAGCUUCAAUUGAAAUAAGGUAAAACUCAAUUAUAUAAGGCAGCUAACGUUUGCUUCCAUUGAAAUAAGGUAAAGCUCAAUUAUAUAAGGCAACUAACAUUUAAAUGGAAGGAAACGUUAACUGCCUUGUAUAAUUGAGCUUUACUUCUUUAAAUGGAAGCAAACUUUAGUUGCUUUAUAUAAUUGAAUUUUACCUUCUUUAAAUAGAAGCAAACUUUAGUUGCCUUAUAUAAUUGAACUUUACAUUCUUUAAAUGGAAGCAAACGUUAGUUAUCUUAUAUAAUUGAGCUUUAAUAGGAAUUAAAACUGAGUCAAUAAAUAUUAAUGAUUUUAAAAGGAAAUCAAUGUUCAAAAUUUGAAUGUUACCUUUUUUAGAUGGAGAGUGAAAUUCAAAACGAAAU